rnacentral:rRNA from 1 species
ACUCCUACGGGAGGCAGCAGUGGGGAAUAUUGGACAAUGGGCGAAAGCCUGAUCCAGCCUUGCCGCGUGUGUGAAGAAGGUCUUCGGAUUGUAAAGCACUUUAAGUUGGGAGGAAGGGUUGUAGAUUAAUACUCUGCAAUUUUGACGUUACCGACAGAAUAAGCACCGGCUAACUUCUGUGCCAGCAGCCGCGGUAAU